GCGUUAUCAAGAAAGGUUGAGGGAUUAGACCCUGUGAAGCCUUAGCAACCCUCCUCAACCAAAAGGGUUUUAGGGAGAAGGUGCUACCUUCUACUACGUGAUUUACGUAGAUAGAUAACAA
rnacentral:ncRNA from 2 species